UUUAGAAGUUUCCUUCUUUACGAACUCACCUAAAAUGAUGAGAGUUGGAUUUCUUAAAUUAAAACUGUAAAAAAUCUUGCGAUUGUGUAAAUAUUUUGUGUAAAUAUUGUGUAAAUAUUUUGAUUUUAAAGUAACACUUCACUGUCUCUCCCCCAUUAUCCUAGAGGCGUUUGCCUGUUAGGAUGGGGGUAAUUUUACGAGGUCGGCUUUGUGAUUUGGGACUUUUACUGUGAUGGGGAAUGAGAAAUAGGGAGGCUGUUUUGGAGGAAAGAGAAGAUGUAUUUAUAGAUAGAAAACCUGCAUUCUCAUGUCAGCACACUCCUUUCUACACUGAUGACCUUGGACAAAUUACUUCAUCUUCUGGAGACUUAAUUUCCUCUCUACAGAGUUCAACAGGGUUGUUAUGGGGUCAGAUAAGAUUAAUGUGUGUGAAAAUACCUUGGUAAUAAUUCAGUGUUAUAUUCCCAUAAAGAGGCGUUAUUCAAAUUGAUACCAUUUAUCACUGCAGGACUGUCAGGUGCUAGGAUAGUUCUAGGUUUUAUGUAAAUAGAAGGGUAACCAAGACAGAGUGCCCUGCCCUCCAGGAGGUUUUGUUUUUGUGAGUGUUCUGGAUACCACCCAACCAGUAAAGUGUCUGGUGGUCCUCUACAUCACUCCCUCAUUUCAUUUCAUGGUGCAUGAUCUUCUUCCGUGGUGAGUUUGGGCACAAGGGCCAAGCUUUCCUUCCUUGACAGCUUGGCUUGACAUUGGAAACUGAAUUUAUCACAGAUGGAUUCCACUGGGGAUCUUUUGGGAAGGAACCGUCAACAUUCCCUGAAGUAAGGUUGUUUCUUUUUGGAUGGCUUUAUACUUUAGCCAUCCAAAUGAACCUUUUGCAAAAACACAGUCAUUACUAGAAUAUAUGAUGAUUUUUCGGACUUAUGUUUUGCAAAAUAAGGCAGGCCAGUGCAAAAGACUGUCAGUAGUUUGGAAGCCUCCUGAGCCCAUUACCAAUAAAUGGCCUCAUUUAUUAAGAAACAACACAGUCUCCAAAGCUUGGCCUUAUUUUGACUUGUGAGUGUCCCAAAGCCCUUGUGGGACAGUUCUUUACAACUUAUUUCUUCAUAUUUUGUUCAGUUGUAUUUUUAUAAUUGUCAAAUCGGAGACACUUUUAAUUUUAAAUGUUCCGAGAGUUGAGCAUGUUUAUUUUACUUCCCUGAUUUGUAUACAUGUAGGCCUUUGUAAGGGUUAAGGUUUAAUUGUUUUAAAGUUACUUAAUUGAAGCCUGCAGAAAACACACAUAUGUGAAGUGUGUAUUUAUAAAACAUAUGAUUAGGUCAUGAUUCUUGAUCAGAAGAGAAUAUUCCUAUCAGUGAUUUGAAUGUAUGACAGUCUGGAUCUAACAGUGUUCUUUUUAGUUCUGGAUUUUCUAUUUGCCAGAGUUCUGAUCCUUGCUUUUUUCUUUUUUAAGUUGAUUAGCAUUUUAGUAGUACCUUGUAAAGGGCCUGGCCACAGAACUAUAUUUUUACAUGACAAAUUAUUUUCAUAGUUUGAAAAAAUUAGUCUGAAUACCUUUUGUUCUGGCAGUGCCAAAUGAUGUAAUCUUUGAAGAAAUGAUGUUUGCUGCUACUCUGAAGAGUUCUGCUAACAACAUGAGAAGAACCUGUGGGUACAUAUGGGGGAGGUAGUAUAUGUUUGUGUGCGUCUUUGAAAUGCACAAACAAAUCUAAGGCUUAGAUACUAUGGGAUGGGAGUAUUACUUUACCCUUAUGCUAGGGGGUGCUAAUUUAGCCCAGAUGUCCCUGAUAUAAUAGAACAAUGAGAUAACCCAACUUAUUUUUGGUUGGAGCUUUUCACUUCCAAAUAGGUCCUAGGGAAACUCUAAAUAGAUAAACACACACAUUGUAACGAGGGACUAUACUUUUGUGUGAAUGGCGUGGUACUUAUGAGGAGAUAUUAUUCUUGUAGAGGCAGAAGGUAUACAUCCGACGAUGAAGAAAGCUUUUUCAUACAUUCAGGAGAUGACUUUUGCCACUUACCACGUACCAGGCAUGGAGUAAGACUGGAGAGGCAAACAUUGGUAAUGCAGGAUCCCUCCACAGAGGCAACCCAGGCUGGUGAGGAGAGAGGAAGACAUAAAACCUAUCUGCAUGGCAGUUUCAUCCAUGAUUGAAGACAGUGCCAGGAGCACAGAGUAUUAAUGAAAAGAGCUUUACAUUUGGAGAGAGAGUCUCGGGUUCUAAUGCUGCCUUUGUCCCUUGUUAAUUAUGUAAACUUGGGCACACCUUAAAAAUAUCUUUUAGUCUUUGUCUCCUCAAGUGGAAAAAUGGAAGGAAAUUCUUUCUAGUCACAGAGCUGUUCUUCUGAGGAUUGAGAUAAUUAUAUAAAAUGUCUGCCUGUCUGGCACACAGUAGAGGCUUAAUAAAUGCUGACCGCAGAUCCUUCUUUCUCUGAAAUGAUAAUGAUUCCAUUUUGUUACUCUCCCCCUCUACACAUACCUCUGCAUUGCCCUGGAAUCCCGAAGAAGGCUUUUGACCCUUUGAACCGGUUCAUUAACAGGAUACAGCUUCUGCAAAAGACAAUUUCGUUAUUUAUGCACGUAACAGAGCAUGAGGGGACAGCAAAGGAAAGCGCUCUCCACAUAGUGGCAGGAUGGGCUCAUGGCUAGUGGGAUACAGUGUGGGCUGAUGGUGUGAGAGGGCACAGAGGGAAGGGACGGAGGGCAGAAAAGAGGCCUCAUUGUGGGGAAUCAGAAGCUGGUGUCAGCUGGGUCCUGCCUGACUUGCAAUGUUUUUGGUCAUUGAAAGCAUAGCCUUUGGCACCCCGCCCCCCCAUUCAUCUCCCUGCCCCUUUCCAGGGGGACAGUACCUGCAGCUUGCAACAACCCCCAUGUCUAGACUGUGACCCUGGACACAGUGAGCCGAGGUUAUGAUGCCUCUGCUAGUCUAUGGAGAUUUUUUUUAUCAGAAUGCAUUUUAAACACUUGCUUCACACAAUCCAUCUCGCACAUGACUCUUGGCAGAGUCAAGAAGAUAUUUUAUUGUAGAGGAUUAACAUGUAAAUCAUUGCUCUGUUUAUAUAAUGCUUAUUCUGUGCUUACAGAAUGAUUAUACCUUGCUUGUAUAAUGGUAGAUGCUCGAAUCAGAAUGAUGCUCUUGGGUUAUCAUUUCCGUGUGGAAGGAUUUCUUUCAGAAAGCCAUUUUCAAUUAAUUUAAGUAAAGGAGCUUCUUACUGCUUCUGUGUGAGACACUCCUGAAAAGCGCUCAAAGGCACUGGUCAAAUACACAGCGCUGGGGUUAUUUUUCAUUUCAUUAUGAUUACAUGUAUAUAUAGUAUAAUCUUUGCAUUCUACUGAGCAGCUGAGACUUGGUUCUUUUUUCUUAGCACGAUGAAUCUGUGUAUUGAUGUAGGAAGGUUAUAUUUAAGAAGAUGUUAGGGGGCUUCCCUGGUGGCGCAGUGGUUGCGCGUCCGCCUGCCCAUGCAGGGGAACCGGGUUCGCGCCCCGGUCUGGGAGGAUCCCACAUGCCGCGGAGCGGCUGGGCCCGUGAGCCAUGGCCGCUGAGCCUGCGCGUCCGGAGCCUGUGCUCCGCAACGGGAGAGGCCACAACAGAGGGAGGCCCGCAUACCACAAAAAAAAAAAAAAAAAAAAAAAAAAAAAGAAGAUGUUAGGAACCCCCAGCUUCCAAGUUUGGAAACACAGAAGGUUUUCCUGUUAAAAUCACAUCAUAUAUAUGCAACACAUAUACAUACAAUCAAUCACAUUGGAGAAGAGAAGCAGGCACUAGAGUGUAUUCUGCAAGCUCUUCACUUCUUAGUAAGUAGCUUUAGAACCAACAUUCCGCCCAGCGUAAAACAAUAAGACCUUGUUUUGCUUCUUUAGAACAUGUAAGAGAGAUUAAAAUUCUUUGGGAAAUGGUUGAAAAUAUAUAUUUUUUUUUACCCGAAUAGGUAAGGAACCAGUCAAAUAGUGCUGACAGCAAUGGAAUGUAAAGCUCAAUUCUCAUAAUCUCUGAAUCCCAAAGGAAUGCAAGGCAGACAUCCAUUCAAGUCACAAGUUUAUAACUGGGGAUUUGAUUUUACCAUGUGCCAGGCACCAUGCUAAGUUUUGUUCUGAGCAUUUGGGAUACUCUUUCAAAGAAGACCUCAUCCCUCCUCCCCAGGAAAUCUAAUGGAUUGACCUAGAGUUGCCCUUUUCCAAACUAGACUCAUCCAUCUGAAUGAACUGGUUAAAAAACUGGAGGAGCUGGUUAAAAAUCCAUGUUUCUGGGCCUGAGGCCUGGAGACCCCGAUAUUUUAAGUCUGUGAUGAAGCCUGGGAAUGUGGAUGUUCAAAAGUUCCUGGGAUUGGAGAUCACUCACUGAUCAUUUUUAGAAUUUUUUCCGACCCAGAGACUCAGUGGUUUUAUAGUUGUCUGGUUUAGAGUAACUUGUGAAUUUCUGAAAGUAUUUUUCCCAUAUAUUUUGCCACAUAGGAAAUAUUGCUCCAUUUAACCCAACUCUUCUAGGGGAACCUUCUGAGGGACCAGAUGUCAGGGCUGGUUUCUCUCUUGGUAGCCACAGUCUCCUGUGUGGUUUCUCCACCAUCUGUCUGUACCAUUCUUGGUGUCCCCAGAGUUAAUCCCCUAAGAAAGCAAAUCACAUUGCAUUACUAGUCCUAUGACUUGGAUUUCCUGUCCCCCUGGAUAAAGCCCAUCCAAACUUGUUAUCAUGACACAUGAGAUCCAUGACAAUCUGGGUCCCAAGCAUCACUCAGACCUCAUUCUCCAGCACCCAUCCUCAGCACCCACGCUCCAAAGAUGGUAAGGCCUCUUGAUAGUUAGCCUUCCCCAUGCUGUUUACACUUUACAUAGAAUAUUACCUGCUCACUCUCCAUUUGGCAAACUCUUUUCCUUUAAGACACACAGGAAUGACACAUUCCCUCCCAGUCAAAAUUAGUCAUUACUUUCUCUGGGCUUCUAGAGCAUUUUGUUUGUCACCUUAUUAGUUCCCUGUUGGUGUUGUAUGUAUUGUAAUGUGUCUGUUCACGUGUCUAUCUCUCCCAGUAGACCCAAAAACCUUGGCUCAUUCAUCCCGUCUCCCUGGUACUAACAAUAGUGCUCAAUGCCCCAGGUUCUGCAUAAAUGUAAUUGAAUGAAUAAGUAUAUAAUUGUGCUGGACAAUUCUGGAAAACAAGAAGAUUCAUAAUCUAGUGACAGGGGCUGCUUCCUCAGAAGUGCUUUCCAUGCCUAUAGAUUGGUGGCUCAGUGGGGAAAAAAUACAACCACCACCAUUCUGCCUUACUGUAAGAAGGUUUGUCAGGCAAAAGCCUUUUGGUUAACCCAACCCUGAUCAGCAUCAAGCUCUCCAAACCUCACAUGAGGCAAUUUCAAAUGCCACACUCGAAUAUCUGUUUAGAGAAGGAAUAAUUUUGCUUGAUGAAGUAUCUCUCUUGGCACCGAGUAAAACCAUCAGUUAAGUAGAUGUUCACGCAGAUGUGGUUUCCACAAAAUGAGAAAUUUAACUUAUAGUGUUAACUUUGUGUCUCUUUCCGGGCAGAAUUCAAGAGAGCAAAGCAAAGAACUUGUGACAGUGCUGUGCAUUUGCCCUCUUUUUCAUGUUGUUGCUCUUCGUUUUUGUUUUGUUUAUUUUAUCGUAGGCACAUUAUUUCCUGAUGGCGAUAUCUGAGGAAUGAGGGCCCUCCAAAGAGGAGAAAAGAAGACUAGGAAUCAUAGAUCCUUAGUCACUCUGUCUCCACAAAGCAGGAUCCACCCUAGUCCUCAUGAUUUGCACAUUGAAUGCAGCAAAGCACAUGCAAAGGUUGCAACAGAUUCUAAACUUGCAUGGUUUAAUGUGAUCACGGUAGUGACAGAAGUUGGACUUCAGGUCCUUCUUGUUGGCCAAGAGACAAUUCUAACACCUUGCUGCUUUUAUGGUAGACUAUCGCUUGAUGGACAGAGAGGACUUGUUUGCAGGUGGGGGUGGUGUAUGCACAUAUAAACACACUCUGUUCCCUCCUCCCCCUUUUUUAGCAAACUUUUCAGUAGCUAAAAGAGUAGAAGAUAGUGGAGCACAUUUUGACAUGCCCACACCUUAACCCUUGGUCCCCUCUGGGCUGUCUAUAUACUGGCAACACUUUCCAUGCCAAUAGGCGACCCAUGGAUGACCUGAGAUGACUUUUGAUAAAGUACUCUGCUUGAGUUCUCGGGGCUAAUCACCCUGCCCCCCCCUCCCCCGCCACAAGGAUCUUACAGGGUUAAUUUAUGGGGCUGUUUAGAAACAAUACGCUUUCCUGAUUCUUGAAUCAUGCUGGGUAUCAGUAAGGCCACAUGCUCGUCUAGGGGGAUUACUACUACUACUAAUAGUAGUAGUAAUAAUAAUUAACAGCAGUGAUUGUAUUGAUUAUACAAUUCAUUUAGGAUGCUUAUGCAGUUCAUGUAUAUUAUCAUGUUUAAAUAUUCACAAAAACCCUGUAUAAGAGGUUCUGUUUAGAAAUACUGCUAAUAACCCCAGUUUACACACAGGGAAACUGAAGUAGAGCAAAUUGCGUCAGGUUGCUUAUCUUAUUUUGUAACUGCAGUUAAUUAGUUUUAUAGGAUAGGUGAGCACUGGGUAAUUUCCGAAAUCCACUCUAAAUUUAUUUUUCCGUGCCUUAAAAUCAAAUUCCGGGAUGAUUGUUCACUGUCCUCUAGGCAGCAUGUGGUCCAGCUUUCCAUAUUCGACUUUUUAAUAGGUAACUGUCUAAGAAGUAAUUAUUUGCUCUUUGCCAUUUUUGAGUGAAAGCAGUUCUUGGGUCUGUCCAUGCAUUUCUAUAAAAUGGGAAGAGAGAAGAGUCAUUAAUUAGAAGAUAAAGUGUGACAACUUCUAGCAUGUUUUCAGUACUAAUCAAAGUCUGUGGUAAGUACCUAGUGAUUAAGGAGUCGGUUUUCGGAGAGCAGACUCUCCAUUUCUUGUCUUUACCCUUUUACCAGCACUACUAAUAAAUAAUUAGAUGGACUGAUUUGAGAUGCACCUCUUUUUCCCUGUGGGGGUGAUAAUGGACAGUGGAAUGGCCAAAGGGCAGAUAAUAACAUAGAGCGAGAGGUUUCUGAGAGAGCCUGGAAAUGACUGACAAUUGACCGUACUAUGAAUAGAUCAGAUUCUCUCCUUUUCUAAAUCUAUGUGAUUGCUCAGGUGGUAGACCCUGUUGGGUGAAAAAAUGACCCAGAGAUGGUCUGGGAAAGGCUGUUGCAUGUUGAUAAUUUGAACAUAAGCCCAGUGCUUACAGGUCGUCACCCAGUUGAAUUUGAUUUUUGACCAUCCCUCUUUCUUCACCCUUUCUGCUGAUGCCGUCAUCUCUGCAUGUAUUUUCGUUGCAUUUUAUGAAUUUGCAAUUAUUUGUCCUUCCUAGUUCUGUAUACAUAUUCUUAAUUCUGUCUAAAUUAAGUGAUCCAUUGCUUAAUUCUUUCAUUUCCCUGUAGGCAGCUAGACCAUGGCUGCUGUUGUUUCUAUGUUCUUUUGUCACCACAUGCCCAUCAUCUGUCAUGAGACUUCUGUGGAUGGGGUGGCAUAAGACGAUUUCUAAGUUGGGUCAGUUUGGACAGGCUCGUGGAUGGGGCAGUGUAUGGAAGCACGCUCUGCCCACGUGUGGUAGCCAUUUGAUAAGCGGCUCCCCAGCUCCAGGGCCACAUGCAAACACCAGCUCUGUUGGCCCUCUGGUGAAUUCUGUGUUAUUUCUGUCUAUGGCAGAAAUUUUACCUAAUGCUUUGUGUCCACUAUCUGUGAGCUCAUUUAAGGUGAAGCCCUUGCCCAACAAAUGUUUGAGGAGCUAAAUUGAACCAAAGCAUUUGCUCUCUGCAGUCUGCAGCUGAGAAGUAAUCAGGCCACGUGGAAGAAACUGAAACAUACCAGUGUCAGUCUUGCUGGAAAUGGCUGCCUGGUCUCUUUGGACCAUGCGCAGACCUAUAAAGGAUCAGCCUGCGACCCAGGGUCACUCUUCCCUCUCCACUCAGAGUGGUGAACUCACUUGGAUUUUGUUGGAAUUCAAUGUCGGUAUGUCAUUUUAAACAAAGUCUCACUCUGUUUAAUUCAUAUGUCUUUAUUAAACAAGAUCCGCUGUCUAGAACCACUGCUUUGAGUCAUCUUUGAUUACUCCCUUUCACUCACUUUCAACUGUUCUGUCACUAGUUUUAUGCAUCUUUCAAAAAUUCUGUCCUAAAAAAAAAAAAAAAAAAAUUCUGUCCUUCUUGCCCUUUCACUUUGGCUGCAUUGCAGGUAAACCCAGGUGUUCUUUCCUCCCCUGACUUGCACACCACAGCUGCUCUUCCUCAUUUUCAGGUGGAUGCUACUGCUUUCCAUUAUUCACAGGGUCAAGGCUAAACUUUUAAGCUUGACACUCAAGGCCAUUCUUUCCGUGGCUUUCCUUUAUCUUCCCAAAGAAAGUUAGUCUUCUCUUCUGAACUAAAUGUAGGGUGAGCCCUCACUUUUAUCUUUAUAAUAGUCUCAUUGUGGUGUAAAAUUUUACCUGGCGCUUUGUGUCCACUGUCUGUGAGCUCCUUUAGGGAGAAGGCCAUGCCCAGUAAAUGUUUGAGGAGCUCCAUUGAACUCAGGUAUCUGACUCCAACCUACCUCUGAAACUUAUAGCACCAGUCUCUAUCUCCAUCAACAUAUACUACUUCCCAUCAUUUUCAAUACUGAGCAAAUUAAUAUUAACAGAAGUUUGCAGAAAUAACUCAUGCAUUUGAAUUUCAAAGUUAUCUAAUAGAAGCUUCCCUUGUUCCCUCUGUGGAACACUUUGUCAAAGCAGUGCACUCUUGCUUUGAAAACAGGAAGGUAGAACAUUCCAACAGCACCAUGAACCCUCUGUUUAUAUUUGUAAAAUCUGUAGUCUUUCCAGACCUCUAAGCAAGAGCAAAUAGAAAUAAUCAGAGGCAUUAGACUUGAUUAUGUUGAGCUGGAUUCUUAUAACUGAGGCUGGAUAGCCAAAAUUAGUGGUGUGAUGGUUUAUACUGAAAGAGAUGCUUGCAAUAUUGCAGAACCACAGACUGCAGCUUGCUGGAAUCUUUGAAGACAUCUGGAUGUUUUGAAAAAUGCAACGAUCACAUGCUUUUUAUUAUCUCCAUAAUUGUAUUCUUUCAAAAAGGGAGCUGCAUAACGACAGAGGGUGGGUGUAGUGGGAAGGCCAUGGAGUUUGCAUUCACAUGGAUGGCUUUGAAUCUGGUUCUGCCGCAACUAGCUAGAGUAACUUGAGCGUGUUUCUUCACCUUGGGUCUACUUCCUCCAUUUGUAAAUGGAGGAAAAAUAAUAUGCAUCUCACAGGAUCACUGUGACAAAUAGAUUAGGUGAUGCCUGACACACAUCAAGUACUAGUAAGCCUUAGCUCUCCUUCCUUUUGCACUCCAGCUUGGAAUAAUAUGAGUGCUGUGGUUUAUAAAUGGCUAUUUUUUUCCUACAUAGAUAAGGCAGUUCUGUAAUACUAUGUCACUGUUUCCCUAAAGGAUCUCUCUGUGGGGCAACACUGCCUCUUGCCCAAUUUCUCCAUAACAGUAUUUAUGUCUGGGGUCCAGAAGAGGAAAUGAUAUCUUAGAAAUAGUUAUCACUCUGUCUCAAUUAGGACACUCACUGUUGAAGAACUCUUAAACACACUUUGCUUCUGGGAAAAAAAGAAAUCUCUCCAGCAGUCUUAUCACCUCAAAAACAGUGAGUAUCAUGGAUUAUUAGAAAGGAAUUACUCAAAGAGAGCGCUCUUAAAAACAACUGCCCGCCAAGGAGUCUGGCUUAUCAACAGGCAAAAAAAGAAUUUUUCUACUAAAUUUUAGCUUGUCACUAUAAACAUGAAAAUGGCAAUACUCAUAAUAUAUUCUGUGGGGACGAUGCAAUGAGUGUUUCCACUAGGUGAAAUUCUCAAGUAAGAGCUUCUAAGAAUGAACAUUAACUCUUCAAGAACCCUAGGGAAUGUCUAUUAGGAAAUAAGUAAACAGCAAAAUGAAAGCUAUUACAAAGAGGGAAGCAAAACAGGCAAAUCUAGUAAAUAAUUUUAUUGUGGACCACAUUGUGGAAAAUAUGAUGGGAUGUGAGGCACAUUUCAUUUAGCAUGAAUGACCAAUGUGAUUAUAAUUGGCUAAUGAAUAUGUUUUCUUUUUCAGCAUAAUAUUAGUGUCAUCCAGAGUUAUGAAGGUGUUUUUCAUAUCAAAACCCCACAGCCAUGAGAAAUUAUAUUCGUAGACUUAUUUUCUGGUAAAAAGUCAAUGUUGUUUCAGCUUCACUUAGAUUUCAGUUUAAAGGCUUGUCUGCAGUCUGAAAACACAUGUUAGCAGAUAAAGAAGGAUCUAUACCACAUGACUUUAUUUUUUACCCCUAUAAACCAAUAUCAGAGCUUAUCCUUGAUUGUGUUUUUCUUUGUGUGGAAAUCUUGAUCUUCUUGUAUAAAAUACUUCGGAAGUUUGGAAGGGAUCUCAUGGGAGAAUUGUAGUAUUUCCUUCAUUAGCGAUUUUUCAGAUAACAUGAAUAAUUAUCCUGAUGGUUUAGCUUAAAUUUGGUCUCCGAUGACAGGCAUGCAAGCAAGCUGUCUUGUCACUGCCCACUCUCGUUUCAUGAUUCUUUAUUUCUAGAUCAUUAAUGGGAUUUCUAUGAAAAUAUAUAGCAAAUAGAAUCCUGAAGAGAUGAGUAUUCAGAUGAUUAUUAGUCCUUAAGUGACAGAGAGACUUGUAAAUAAUGGAACGUCGAGAGAAAUCUCUAAUUUCAUUUAAUGGUAGCUUGGCUGUGAUUGUGAUUCCACCUUUUUACCAGGACUCCUAACAAGAAGAUGAAAGGAUUGCAACUUCAAGUCCCAUAUUUCUUUUGCUCUUCAAGAUUUAGAGCACGCUGCUGAUGGAGGAGUGCUAGCUGGUAUCUGUGAAAUGUGCUGAACAGGACCAUUAGGCCAUAAUUGAAGUGAUAUAAGAAACAGGAUUGUUUGGAAAAAUUAGGAAAUGGAGGUAGACUGGAAGCUUAAGAGGAGCACGGACAUGCUGCUGGUAGAGAUAACUUUCUAGAACCUCCUUUUCUGCCUACAGUAGCUCUUAGCCUUCUCCAAUGGAGAGUAAUUGAGAAUUCAUUAAAAAAUGCAGUGUUUGCUUUUUUUUCAUAUCACUCUAUGAUUUAAUUCUCUGGAGCCCAAGUGAUAGCAAUAGGUGCUCCCAUGUCACCUCUGCUUGUCCUGUUCAACGGGAGGGGUUGGGAGGGGUAGUACCUUGUGGUCAUCGGCACAUCCAAACUUGACUCCAGGUAGAGGGAAUGUCAAGGACAGCAUGGUUGUUCAGUGUUAGUAUUAGGUGGGCCUGAGUUUGAAUACCAGCUCUAUUACUACCUAACUGUGACACUUUGGGCAAAUUAUAAAUUUUAUCUCAACCUCUUGUAUAAAGUGAAGACAUUAAUAUUUUAUAGAGUUCUUAUAAAGAUUAAGUGAAAUAAACUAUGCAAAAUAUUAUGCCUAGUAGGAUCUUAGCAUAUUGUUAGUUUUCGGUGUGUUUGGCUAAUUACCACUGUAUCUUAAGUUCUUGAAUGAAUGGAUGGAUGAGUUCAUGCAUGGAUGAUUUAUAUGUAUGUUCUGCCUUGAAAUCCCUAAAAGAUUCAUUUUAUUUAGGAUUGCAGUGGACCCUAAUGGAAUAACUAAAGAUUUAAUUUAAUUAUUGCUGGAGAGAAAGCGUGGCAUGAAAUGGAAACAUGAAGAUGGGAACUGUUUUUUGUAAUCCUUUCCAUUUUUGUAAUUCCUAUUUCUUUUAUUUCCUAAAGCUUUCAGUUUGGUUAUAUCAUUUUACUUUCCUAUCUCCUGUAGUAGGUGGGGUGUGUACAAUUAUCACUAUCUCAAAGAUUCCCAGAGAGGAAGAUGAAAUGGGGAAGGUCAUGUCCAUUUCUGUUUUGUAUAGCUAUGUACCAAAUAGUCAUCUUAUCAACAAUUGGUGCCAUGAGCUGGACUGGACAAGCAGUGUGGGAUCAUCAAAAGAUCAAUAGGCUAGUGGGCAGAUGUUCUGAAUUCUAGUUUUUGUGCUGUCUCUAAAAAAAUCUUUGAUCUCUGUCAAAUUUCUCAACUGUCUUGAGCCUCAGUUCCUUCAUUUGUUUAAGACUGGACAGUUCCCGUAAUUCUUUAAUUCUCAGAAUCUAGGGAGCCAGCAUUAGUGGUUAGAAGCUAGGCUCUGCUUGGGCUUGUAGCUGCCUUCACUACUUCACAGCUCUGGCACCCUGGCAAGGUACUUAAUCUCUAUAAGCCUCACCUUUCUCAUCUGUGCAGUGGGGACAGCAAAAUUAAAACGUCCUUUAAAAAGUUGCCAUGAGAAUAAAAAACAAGGUCCUACUGUAUAGCACAGGGAACAAUAUUCAAUAUCCCAUGAUAAACCGUAAUGGAAAGGAAUAUGAAAAAGAAUGUAUGUAUAACUGAAUCACUUAGCUGCACAGCAGAAAUCAACAGAACAUUGUAAAUCAACUAUAUUUCAGUAAAAUAAAUUUUAAAAAAAGAAAAAAAACCAAAACCCCAAAACCAAAAAUAAACCAAAGAAAAAUCAUGUUAAUAAAAAAAUGAAAAUAAAUAUAUAAGUAAUCGAAAUAAAUGUGAGUAGAUUUAAUUCACACAUUAGUUAGAGAUUCUCAGAUUUGAUAAAGGAAAUAAAUGGGUAUUAUGCUAUUUAGAAGAGACAUCUCACCCCUAUUAAAAAACUAUACCUGAAGUUCUAAAAUAAAAGAAUAGAAGAUUAUACCACACAAAGAGAAAUUAAACAAAGCAAACAAAUAAACAACAAAAACUCCACCAUCAACAACAACAACAGUAAAACAGAAAGAUGCCAAAGAAAAAGAAAUUGAUAAAGCAGUAGCAACAACCAAUAACUAAAAAACAAACGAAACACUUAAGAAUUAUAGAAAGGAAAAUGUAAAUCAUGUAUAAUGCCAAAUACUGGUAAUGAUCAUCACUAUUAUUAUCUCCAUAAGUUUUUCCAAAUUUGGAAUUCUAUUAAAUAUUUUUUUAUUUUUAAAAAAACAAGUUGCCAUAAGGAUUAAAUGCAUGCCGAGCAUUUAGCAUAGUAUCCAGUGCAGUUAUGUGCUCAAUAAAUAUUAACAAGUCUUCCAACAUGACUUAUUCCAAAAAAAGGUAAGGCAAGCAUCACUGAUGUUUUGGAAAAGAAAUAGACGUUAAUGUGUCCCUGUAUUACUGACCCAACAGCCCAAGUCAUGCCCUUCGAAGCUACCAAGGGCAGAUGAUCACAGAAGAACAUCCCACAGGCCUCUUCCGUGAGAGGUGUGGUCCCUCUCGUUCCCUCUAGGAGCUCAGCCAGUGUUUCAUGAAGAUACUGUUGAUGAUUCUGCCACAGCAUGGAAUUUCCUGGUGUAGACAGCAGCUCAACGAAUUAGAGGAAUAGGAUCAUUGUUUUUCAGGUAAGGAAAGGGAGGCUUACAGAAGUGCUGUCACAUGCACAGGAUCAUGUGGCUCGGUUUCCCUCCAGGGAUGUUCUUGGGACUCACCACUCCUCCCCAGGUCUGUGCUGUCCAUUGCCAUCAAGAGGUUAGAUGUCAGGGUACAGGUUAGACCCCAUACCCUGGGCUUCCCCUGGCAUCAGCAGCUUUUAGUGGCUUUCCUGUCUCCUUCACUCUCGCUUCAUGUCGGAUGGACAGGGCUUUUUAUCUGUCUCAAGAAGCCCAUAGGAUUUGAGCAAAAAUGUUGACUUUCUUGCAUCUCUGCCAGAGUUUCUCCCUUCCCUCCCCAGAAAUUUCAACAAAUCUCUUCAUGCUGCUUCCUCAUUUCUGUUCUUCAAAGUGUUUCUGCCAGACAGACAGACCUUGUCUGUCCCAGCUCCGACUCUUCAGGGAUGGGACAUUCUUUAGGCAACGACAGUUCAAUAACAAGAAAGAAUGCCAUCACAUGAUUGCAUUAUGUUCUUCAAAAUGAAAUCUAUUGAAAGUUGAACAGUAUAAACAACAAGGAACAUAAUCGGUCAGAGUGACCCAGGGGAAAUGGCCCAAUGAAAUUAAACAAAGGAAAUUUUAUACUGUGAGGGAAAAAUCAAUGGAUUGUAACAGAACUUGGUAAGAAGAGACAAAACUCUUGAGUCCCAGAGACCCAGAGGUGAUUGAGAAGCUGUGUGAACUGGAA